CCUACGGGCGGCAGCAGUGAGGAAUAUUGGUCAAUGGACGAGAGUCUGAACCAGCCAAGUAGCGUGAAGGAUGACUGCCCUAUGGGUUGUAAACUUCUUUUAUAUGGGAAUAAAAUGUUCCACGUGUGGGAUUUUGUAUGUACCAUAUGAAUAAGGCUCGGCUAACUCCGUGCCAGCAGCCGCGGUAAUACGGAGGAACCGAGCGUUAUCCGGAUUUAUUGGGUUUAAAGGGAGCGUAGGUGGAUUGUUAAGUCAGUUGUGAAAGUUUGCGGCUCAACCGUAAAAUUGCAGUUGAAACUGGCAGUCUUGAGUACAGGAGAGGUGGGCGGAAUUCGUGGUGUAGCGGUGAAAUGCUUAGAUAUCACGAAGAACUCCGAUUGCGAAGGCAGUUCACUGGACUGCAACUGACACUGAGGCUCGAAAGUGUGGGUAUCAAACAGGAUUAGAUACCCCGGUAGUC
rnacentral:rRNA from 1 species